rnacentral:rRNA from 1 species
UACGGAGGGGGCUAGCGUUGUUCGGAAUUACUGGGCGUAAAGCGCACGUAGGCGGCUUUGCAAGUCAGAGGUGAAAGCCCGGGGCUCAACCCCGGAAUUGCCUUUGAGACUGCAUCGCUAGAAUUGUGGAGAGGUAAGUGGAAUUCCGAGUGUAGAGGUGAAAUUCGUAGAUAUUGGGAAGAACACCGGUGGCGAAGGCGGCGACCUGGUCCGACACUGACGCUGAGGCGCGAAAGCGUGGGGAGCAAACAGG